rnacentral:rRNA from 1 species
AGUGAACGCUGGCGGCGUGCUUAACACAUGCAAGUCGAACGAGAACGGGUUAUAGCUUGCUAUAAUUGUCAGCUAAGUGGCGCACGGGUGAGUAAUGUAUAGGUAAUAUGCCUCUUACUAAGGGAUAACAAAUGGAAACGUUUGCUAUUACCUUAUACUCCUUAUUAACAUAAGUUAAUAAGGGAAAGAUUUAUUGGUAAGAGAUUAGCCUGUAUUGUAUCAGUUAGUUGGUGGGGUAAUGGCUUACCAAGACUAUGACACAUAACUGAUUUGAGAGGAUGAUCAGUCACACUGGAACUGAGACACGGUCCAGACUCCUACGGGAGGCAGCAGUGGGGAAUAUUGCACAAUGGACGAAAGUCUGAUGCAGCAACGCCGCGUGGAGGAUGACACAUUUCGGUGCGUAAACUCCUUUUAUAUGAGAAGAUAAUGACGGUAUUAUAUGAAUAAGCACCGGCUAACUCCGUGCCAGCAGCCGCUGUAA